AUGGUGCUUCCGUGGCUGAGUAGGGUGGGUUUCUUUCGUUUUUCUCACGUUGGUGUUUUCUGGACAACUGUACUGAGCGCGUUGAUGGCAUCGGUGCUCUGCCUGUGCCCGUGGGCAGAGGACAUAGGCUGUGGGUGUGUCCCGCCCACAGGCGCGCUCACAGGCAGCACUGGAUCAGAGCAGGCCACCUCACAUGGGACCUGCUGCAGUACAACUUCCAGCAUGGAGGAGCAGAGCAAGAUGUUGGCUUGCUGUGGGAGACGAGAGACACCCAUGCCUCUGACCUCUAUAUCUGUUACAGAACCCUGGCAACCACAACUCCAUUUUUCAUUUCUAUGAAUUUGACCACUUUGGAUAUCUCAUCACAGUACCGGAAGUCCUACCAGAGCAAUCAGGCAAGAGAAAGAAAUGAAGAGCAUCCAAAUUGGAAAAGAGGAAGUCAAACUGUUGCUGUUCACUGAUGAUAUGAUUAUACACCUAGAAAACCCUCAAUAUUCCUUCAGAAGGUUCCUAGAUAUCAUAAAUGAAUUCAAUAAAAUCUCAGGUUUCAAAAUUAAGGUACACAAAUCAGUAGCACUGCUAUAUACCACCAACAACCAAGCUGAGAAUCAAAUCAAGAACUCAACCCCUCCUACAACAGCUGCAACAAAAACAACACAUACAAACACACAAACUAGGAAAAUACUUAACCAAGGAAGUGAAAGGUCUCUAUAAAGAAAACUAAAAAGCACUGCUGAAAGAGAUCAUACAUGUCAGAAACAAAUGUAAACACAUCCCAUGCUCAUGGAAGGAAUCAAUAUUGUGAAAAUAACCAUAUGGCACAAAGCAAUCUACAGAUUCAAUGCAACUCCUGUGAUAACUCUUCACAGAACUAGAAAAUAAUAUUAAAAUUCACAUGAAACAAAAAAAGGGCUCACAUAGCCAAAGCAAGACAAAGCAAAAAGAAC
rnacentral:lncRNA from 1 species